rnacentral:rRNA from 1 species
CCUACGGGAGGCAGCAGUGGGGAAUAUUGGACAAUGGGGGGAACCCUGAUCCAGCCAUGCCGCGUGUGUGAAGAAGGCCCUCGGGUUGUAAAGCACUUUCAGUGAGGAAGAACGCCUGGUGGUUAAUACCCAUCAGGAAAGACAUCACUCACAGAAGAAGCACCGGCUAACUCCGUGCCAGCAGCCGCGGUAAUACGGAGGGUGCGAGCGUUAAUCGGAAUUACUGGGCGUAAAGCGCGCGUAGGUGGCUUGAUAAGCCGGUUGUGAAAGCCCCGGGCUCAACCUGGGAACGGCAUCCGGACCUGUCAAGCUAGAGUGCAGGAGAGGAAGGUAGAAUCCCCGGUGUAGCGGAGAAUGGCGUAGAGAUCGGGAGGAAUACCAGUGGCGAAGGCGGCCUUCUGGACUGACACUGACACUGAGGUGCGAAAGCGUGGGUAGCAAACAGGAUUAGAUACCCCUGUAGUC